GCUUGGCCAAUUCAGUUUGGUAAGAUGUAUUCUCAGUUUUGUGUUGAUAUUUCUCCACAUCUAUAAUAUUAGAUAUGGAUUCUCUAUUUUGCAAUCUGGAAAUUAGUGUUGUUAUUAAAUUAUUGUCAUAUCACAUUAUUUUAGUAUGCUUCCUUUGACUAUGGAUAAAAUUGUGUGUUCUUAAGGUGGAUAUAGCCUAUAUACCAUU
rnacentral:misc_RNA from 1 species